UGUAGUGUGCAACAGCACCAACUUAUACUCAUUUACUGACCAUUAGAUUGUCUUAGCCUAGGAAACAGAAUAUAGUCGUACAAAGUUUGUCUUGACGACUUCUUAGGGUCAUCGCGGCAAGCCAAUAGAAAGGUAGCUCGUGUCCUAUUUAGAUACUAGCACUAGUGGCAGUCCUAGUACCUGUAGGGUAUCUGUAAGACUGCUGUACGGACCAACUAAGCCGGUCGCCAACAUGGACACGUGGAUGUUUACACCAAUCGUCGUUGUCACGCUGCUGUUGCUGGCAGGUCCUGGUGCCCUAGGAGAGCAAGAGCGAGGUCCACCAAGCGCACCAGAGGACCUCUUCGCGGUCCGACUAAACUCAACUUCAGCGACAAGCAAUUUCAAGGCUCCAAAGCAAGAAGAGCGAGUA